GAUGAACGCUAGCGGCAGGCUUAAUACAUGCAAGUCGAGGGGCAGCAUAGUUGUAGCAAUACAACUGAUGGCGACCGGCAAACGGGUGCGGAACACGUACGCAAUCUACCCAAAACUGAUGAAUAGCCCUCCGAAAGGAGGAUUAAUACAUCGUAACAUAAUUGAAUGGCAUCAUUUAAUUAUUAUAGCUCCGGCGGUUUUGGAUGAGCGUGCGCCUGA
rnacentral:rRNA from 1 species